GUGUUCACUUCAACAGCACCUAAACUAAAAUUGUACUGAUAUAGAGAAGAUUAGCAUGGCCAUGUCAAAGGAUGACAUGCAAAUUUGUGAAGUAUUCCAUAUUUAA
ensembl:snRNA U6 U6 spliceosomal RNA